UACGUAGGGACCAAGCGUUGUUCGGAUUUACUGGGCGUAAAGGGCGCGUAGGCGGCGCAACAAGUCACUUGUGAAAUCUCCGGGCUUAACCCGGAGCGGUCAAGUGAUACUGUCGUGCUAGAGUGCGGAAGGGGCUACUGGAAUUCUCGGUGUAGCGGUGAAAUGCGUAGAUAUCAAGAGGAACACCUGAGGUGAAGACGGGUUGCUGGGCUGACACUGACGCUGAGGCGCGAAAGCCAGGGGAGCAAACGGG
rnacentral:rRNA from 1 species